rnacentral:rRNA from 1 species
UUUAAAGAAAGCGUAAUAGCUCACUAGUCGAGUCGGCCUGCGCGGAAGAUGUAACGGGGCUCAAACCAGGCACCGAAGCCGCGGAUUCACGCUAAGCGUGAGUGGUAGGGGAGCGUUCUGUAAGUCUGCGAAGGUGUAUCGAGAGGUAUGCUGGAGAUAUCAGAAGUGCGAAUGCUGACGUAAGUAACGAUAAAGGGGGUGAAAAGCCUCCUCGCCGGAAGACCAAGGGUUCCUGUCCAACGUUAAUCGGGGCAGGGUGAGUCGACCCCUAAGGUGAGGCCGAAAGGCGUAAUCGAUGGGAAGCAGGUUAAUAUUCCUGCACGACUUGUAAUUGCGAUGGGGGGACGGAGAAGGCUAGGUGGGCCAGGCGACGGUUGUCCUGGUGAAAGUGCGUAGGUGGUGUUUCUAGGCAAAUCCGGAGACACAACACUGAGACACGAGACGAACACACUACGGUGUGGAAGCCAUUGAUGCCCUGCUUCCAGGAAAAGCCUCUAAGCUUCAGAUUACAAGUCAUCGUACCCCAAACCGACACAGGUGGUCGGGUAGAGAAUACCAAGGCGCUUGAGAGAACUCGGGUGAAGGAACUAGGCAAAAUAGUACCGUAACUUCGGGAGAAGGUACGCUCUUGUUGGUGAAGUCCCUUGCGGAUGGAGCUGACGGGAGUCGCAGUGACCAGAUGGCUGGGACUGUUUAUCAAAAACACAGCACUCUGCAAACACGAAAGUGGACGUAUAGGGUGUGACACCUGCCCGGUGCCGGAAGGUUAAUUGAUGGGGUUAGCGCAAGCGAAGCUCUUGAUCGAA